rnacentral:rRNA from 1 species
UACGUAGGGGGCAAGCGUUGUCCGGAUUUACUGGGCGUAAAGCGCGUGUAGGCGGAAGCGAAAGUCCGGUGUGAAAGCCCCCCGCUCAACGGGGGAAGGUCGCUGGAAACUGCGCUUCUUGAGGGCGGCAGAGGGAAGUGGAAUUGCUGGUGUAGCGGUGAAAUGCGUAGAGAUCAGCAGGAACACCCGUGGCGAAGGCGGCUUCCUGGGCCGCGCCUGACGCUGAGGAGCGAAAGCCAGGGGAGCAAACGGG